GAAUUCCACGAAGCGGUCGAAGACGGUGGUUUUCUGGCAUCACUGGUUACGUCUCAUAUGGAGAGGUUUGUUUCGAAUUUCGAUCGUUCGAAUAGUUCUUUUUAAUUUCGAGCUACUGAUCGUCUCUCAAGCUAUGGAUGGAGAAACAGUGGAGUGGAUAACGACCAUAACGUAACGCAGUAUCCAUCUGGUAUCCAUCCUGGAUGGAUAGACGUGAGGCAAUACCACAGACGAGGUAUUAUACGAGUAGACGGUCUGGUCACCAGAGAUAUUUUUCUUUUGUGUUAUCGAAAAACCUAAUUGUUUAAAAGUUUUCUUGUAAAAACUGGAACAACAUGUUACUGAGAAAGGUGUUGAAUAUAUUUCGACCUAAUAGUCACGUGCAGGCUAGAUUGUAUAAACAACGUUUUGCCGUAGCAUAUGCUGUCCUUGGAUGGCACGUUUGUGGAUUAAUAUUUUAUAUGUUGUAUAAUCAAGGUUUACCCACGGAUAAAGAGGAGCGAAAAGCUGUACUGUUACAAUGUCUGGAUCAUGGUCAAGAUGUACAUAAGAUACGAUUAAGUGGAAUGACUAUGGUAGAUAGAAAAGUUGUAAGAAGUGACGAGGACACUGUAUCGCAAGUUCCAGCAAAUUAACA